CACCAGGGCCCAGAGCGAGACAGACGUGGAGCUGGGAUUUGAAAGCACGCCUGUGCAGCCCGGCCCGGUAGGAAGAGCGGUGAUAGAAUUUAUUUUGAAAGCUGCCUCUGCUUCCUCUGUGGGAUGUGAAUCGAGCGUGCACACGGCUGAAGGUGGGAAACCAGGAGACUGCGGUGGUCGUGCAGGGGACAGAUGACCUGGCAGCGUCCUGUAGCAGAACGGCACACUGAAGAAAUCGUCCAGGGGGGGACCCCAGGAGUCUUGGCAACUGAUGGAUGAGACGUGAGCUGAUUUAGACACCAGUGGGAAGGAGCCAGUUGAGUGCAAGCAGGUGGAAUCCCAAUGGAAGGAGGGGACAGUGAAUGGACAGGUGUCGCGAGAAGUUUGGAGUCGAGUGGAGUGCCAGGAUCUGCCCCGGGCAGCUGAGACCAAGACUUCUCUUUUUCUCUGAAUGUGCCAGGCUAUGGGAAUGCUGACAGCUGCCCUCCGUGACGAAACCGGGCUGCUCUGUGCUGUCCUGUCUCUCUGUCUGCAGAGGGGAAGAAAAUGCAGCUACACAGGCUCUGAAUGCACAAGCUGGCU